GCCCGCCUCAGCCUCCCAAAGUGCUGGGAUUACAGGCGUGAGCCACCGUGCCCGGCCCCACCUGCAUUUAUAUGAGAAGUAGAUUGGGAGGUUGCUCACCCCAGUUUACUAAUGAAGAAAUCUAGAUGUGGAGAGAUUAAAGGAUUCUGAUCCAAAGUCACACAGGUGUCAACAGAGGAGUCAGCACCAGCACCUGGUCCUCAGACGCUCAUUCAGCAGUGGGGUAUAUCUUGGGGAUAUGACAGUACACCUCACACCAUGGUGGCAGGAACUUUGUUUUAUUCACUACCUAGCACCUAGUAUCUGGUGCAUGGUAGUGUUCAGUAUUUUUUAUCAGUUAAUAUUUUUUGGUUGAAUGAAUAAAUGAGUGUGUACCCAUCAGGGUUUCAUCAGAAAAGCAGAACCACUAAGAGGUACUUGUUUGAAGAGAUUUGUUGUGGGAAUUUGACCUUACACAGUCACUGGCACUGGGGCUGCUUAAGCAGGCUCUGCAGACAAUCGGGAAGGACAGACGGAUAUAAAGUAAGGGAGGACAAGCCCAAGUGGAAGCCCUUGAAGGCAGACACAUCCGUCUGUGUCAGUUCUUUUUUGUUUUUUUGAGACAGGGUCUCACUCUGUUGCCCAGGCUGGAGUGUCAUGGCCCAAUCUCAGCUCCCUGCAGCCUUGACCUUCCUGGUCUCAAGCAAAUCCUCCCAACUCAGCCUCCCAAGUAGCUAGGACUACAGGCAUGAGCCACCACACCUGGCUAAUGUUUGUAUUUUUUGUAGAGAAGGGUUUUGCCAUGUUGCCCAGGCUGGUCUUGAACUCCCGGUCUCAAGCAAUCCACCUGCCUUGGCCUCUCCAAAGUGUUGGGAUUACAGGCGUGAGCCACUGCACCCGGCCCCAUGUCAGUUCCUGCCUCUGCUGAGGUGAGCCAGCAGAGAAGCCACAAUUCGUGUGAGCUGUAAAAUGACUGCUGCUUCACUUCCCACCUCCAAACCUUCCACAAGUUUCUCCUCUGUGCUCCACUCUAACCGGAAACACACGGGAAGGGAAUUCUGGGAAGUGUGGUUCAGCUUACCCAGGUGGACAGAUCACAAAGCCACCGCUGCAUGGGAGGUGUGAUCCGUGCCCAGACUGCACUGUCGUGGGCAAUUCGGAGGCAAGCAGGCAAUGAUGGCAGAGUGGGAUGAACAGGAGAAAGGUGAAGUGCAGAGGCAUAAGAAACCGAUUUUUAUGUUCCACUCCUUGAUUCCAUUUGGGUUCCUCCUUAACAUUACAAAAAGAAAACCAGGAAAGAAGGAUCAAAAUGUCCCUGAAUGCCAUUACAUUCAAACAUCAGAACACCAAAGUUGAUAGCAGCAUUAUUCACAACAGCCAAAAGGUGCAAACUCAAGUGUCCUUCAACAGAUAAAUGGAUAAACAAUACGUGGCCUAUCCAUAUGAUGGGCUAGAAUUCCACCUUAAAUGCUGCAACAUGGAUGAAUCUUGAGUACGUUAUGUUCAUUGAAAUAAGCCAGACACAAAAGAACAAAUAUUCUACAAUUCCCUUGAUAGGAGGUACCUAGAAUUGGUAAAUUUAUAAAGAAAGUAGAUUAAAAGUAACCAGAGGCUAGGGAGAAGGGAAAAUAGGGAGUUAUGGUAUAAUGAGUACAGAGUUUCUGUUUGGGAUAAUGAAGAAGUUCUGGAAAUAGAUGGUGGUGAUUGUUGCAAAACUUUGUGAAUAUACUUAGUGCCACUACAUUAUAUGCUUAAAAAUUGUUAAAAUGGGCUGAGCACAGCGGCUCACACCUGUAAUCCCAGCACUUUGGGAGGUUGAGGUGGGAGGAUUGCUUGAGCCCAGUCCAAGACCAACCUGGGCAACAUAGUGAGACUGCAACUCUACAACAAAAAAAACUGGCUGGGCAUGGUGGUGCACACCUGUGGUCCCAGUUACUUGGGAUGCUGAGUUGGGAGGAUCACCUGAGCCUGGGAGGUCAGGGCUACAGUGAACCAGGAUCUCACCAUUGCACUCCAGCCGAAGCAACAGAGCAAGACGCUGUCUAAAAAAAAGAACAAAAAAAGGGUCAAAGUGGUAAAUUGUGUAUUAUAUUUUACUAAACACACACAAAAAAAUAGCUGGUUUGGCAUUAUUGAGUGUCCUUGCUGCUCUGUGGCCCUAGGUCCCUUAUUAAUCUGACGGCUGACGACUGUUCCCGUUGUGGAAGUAACAGGUCAACCAUUAAUUUUAUUUUAUUUUAUUAUUUUUGGGAGAUGUCGUCUCGCUUUGUCUCCCAGGCUGGAGUGCAGUGGCAUGAUCUCGGCUCACUGCAACCUCCGCCUCCCAGGGUCAAGCCAUUCUCGUGCCUCAGCCUCCCGAGUAGGUCGGACUACAGGCACCCACCACUAUGCCCAGCUAAUUUUUGUAUUUUUAGUAGAGAAGGGUUUUGCCAUGUUGGCCAGGCUGGUCUUGAACUCCUGACCUCAGGUGAUCCACCCGCCUUGGCCUCCCAAAGUGCUGGGAUUACAGGCGUGAGCCACCACGCCUGGCCAACCAUUCAUUUUAUAUAGGAAUGGAGGAGACCCCUGCGUGUAACCUCCAGCUCCUUCUAGAGAAAGCAGGUCUCAGAGGCUACGAGCACAUUCCAUGCUGCAGCUUUGCUGAAGGGUAGGUUAGCGUGGAACAGACUGCAGCUACUUAAAUCCUGGAACACCUCGGGGCUAUCUAUAUCCUGCCUUUCUGUUUGUUGUUAAUAAUGUAAGGACAAAUGGGCUAGCUUAAGCAAAAGUGAGCAAUUAACGCAAGAAUGAAAAUGGUUGAGCCUUAGGAAGAUUCCAGAAACAUGGACCAAGAACUCCUACAGCUCUCCAUUUCUGCGCUACUAUAUUUUGCUCUUCGAGGAGACCAACUUUGUUACUCAGCCGCUUCCCGACCGGCUGCCCCCCAGCUCCCAAGCUUACACAGAGGCAACCUCCAUUAGCCCCACUUGAAGUUUUAGGAGAGAAAAUUUUGACCCAGUUUGAGUCAAAUGUCUACCUCUGUUCCUUCAGCUAGCAGCGGGCAGGGAGGGGUGCGUGGAGGAAACACUCAGCCACCCUCUGUGACCUGCUGAUUGGGCCCAGCGCCAGAAGACAAGGGAUCAUUGAAAGCUGGCAGACAUCCCAAAAGGAGCUGGCUGUCCACAAUCAGGCCGAAACGAGCCUCCCUUGACUCUUGGCGGACAGGGCCAGGUGUAGCUCUGCAGUUUAGGGAGAACCAGGACAGCCUGCUGCUCUCGGGUCCUGAAGGGCCUUGGAGCAAAGGCCUUUAGGAAGUUUUAGGUCACAAAAAGGCAACAGACACUGCCAAAAGCAACAACUGCUUUGGGUCCAGAAAGAAUCUCCUUGAGCAUAAGAGAAGCAGUUGUAUGGAGGUGUUGGCCUCUUGGCUCAACUGUGAAAAGCAGCCCAGGGGCAACAAAUUUGAAUCAAAGCAGCUGGAUUUAGUAAAAGGCUAUUACUUUACCCAGUGCCCUCAAGGACUGAAAGUGCUUUAAUAUCCAUAAACCCCCCGGACUCUCCUCCCAAGGCCCUACUCUCCAAAACCACGUCCUCCAGAGGGAGUUGAGUGGCCAAGGGUGGGGCCAAGACUCCACAUAGAUCCAGGGGCUCAUUCCAUGAUGCUCUCAUUUCCUAGAGUCCUCCAGGUGUACAGGGAAUUGUUUCACUGACAGACAGGCCAGGAUAUCUCAUAAGCUUCUUGGGCACAAGUUGGAGUGGUAUGGGUGGAAUUCCAGCACAAUUAGGCAUAUCGUGGUUGGGUGAACACAACCAUACAAGGGGGAGAGGUCUCUACCAGUGGCCUGUGCAGUCCUGCCAUGUUCUUUCCUGGUCAAUGUUUUAAAUGAUAACUUGGAAUACUACUAAAUACAGCCGGGCGCAGUGGCUCACAGUAAAUAGCCCUGACAUUCUUGUCAAACAGCACCUGAUGAGAGCUGUUUUUCUUAAUCAUUCUCCUUAAAUUGACCACACUCCAAAAGAGGUAAGACUGUGUGUGGGGCUUUUUGAGAAAGAGAGGUUACCAAGAGGGUCUGUGAGCCAUAGAAAGUCAAGUGGCAGAGUCAGCUACAGGUUCACCAUUCCCAAGCCAGGCAUCAUUAGAGUCUAAGGACUUUAUUCCACCAAUCUGAGCUCUCUCCUGUCCCCUUCAGCCAUGAUUUGAACCCACCCAGGGAUAAGGGACCCCGGGGUGGCUUCCACCCUACCCACCUUCAGUCUUUAGGCCGCUUUGGUGAGGCCUCAGCAUCUAAUGUAAUUGUCUUCACUCAAGUCUUGGCCAUCAGACCCCUGGAGAGCUAAUUUGAUUUCUUUCCUUUUAAAUUAGAUUUCCCCAAACCAUCUGCUUCCACUGUGGAAAUGCAGGCAGGAUCAGCUUUUUUUUU
rnacentral:lncRNA from 10 species